GAGAGCCCUAAGGUGUCGUAACUGCCACGACGGCGGAGCGAUACACCUUGGGGAUACCCUGCGAGCGGAGCCCGGUGGGAUCUCCGGCCCUCACGCCCUAGUCCUCCUUUAAAAAAUAAAGACAGGAAGCCUUUAUUUUUGGUUUUGCUGUGCACUUAUCCAAGAGGACGAGGGUGAGUUUUCAUUCUGGUGAAACAUCCAGGGUUUAAUUUCUCUCGGAAAGAAAGGGGCUCAGCAUCCCAUACAGAAAAUUCUUCAGGUGGAAGGAUGUCAGAAAGAUGGAUUUCCAAAGCCAACCGUUUCCUGAACCAUGUGGAGCUCUGCAAGCAGAUUCUCAUCUUUCAAUGUUAACUGCAUAAGAGGUAGAAGGGAAGAACACAUAUGUCACCCCUGACAUAGCUAUGUGGAGACUCCUUAUUUGUGGGGCCACAGCUAAAGAACAUAGUUCCUCAGGUUGGAAUUGACUUCCUAUAUUCUCUGUUUCAUGAUAACUCCAUUAAAAAGUCCUCAGAACACUGUGCUGCUUACAUGAAAGUGUUCACUUUACAAAAACUUACAUGGUAUGAAUGCUCACAAUUUGUGCAUUUUUUGUGUAAAAAAAAAGUUUAUUUUUAAAAAUUUACCCUAAUAACCAAAUAUAUUCUUAACUAAUGUAUAAUACUGUUUGGCAGGUGAGAGACAGGAAUAAAAUACACAGGAAUCAAAACCAUUAGAUUUGAAUUUAAUUUUAAAAUCUCAAUGUGUAAUGGACACAUCUAGUUGCCUACAAAUCCACUCUCUUCUUUUACUAACAAAAUCUUCAUUUCUUUUCAGGGCAGCAAUGUAGGCAACUAGAAAGCAACAGAGUUUCCCUUGUAGCUAGCAGUAAUUUCAAUUGUGAUCAAUGAAAUAUAAGCUAAAGUCACAUCUCUUUUUAAAGGGAGGUGAAAUAGCUAGUGUGGCCCUUUUGUCAUUUGCCUGCUUUGUUCUUUACUAUACUUGAAAUAUGCAUGUGAUAGCUUGAGGUACAAUGGCUGUCUUGCAACUACGAGGGCUGGAAACUUCAUGUUAUGACUGGUGAAGCAGAAAGAAAGAGGUUGGGUUUCUGUUAACACUGUGGAGCUGUGGUACCAGUAUGUUCUAGAGUUUUCAUUAGAUGAGAAAAAAUAAAACUCCUAAUUUGUUUAA